AUGGUUAAGCUACUAAGAGCACACGGAGGAUGCCUAGGCGCUAGGAGCCGAUGAAGGACGUGGCGAACAACGAAACUGCCUCGGGGAGCUGUAAGCAAGCUUUGAUCCGGGGGUGUCCGAAUGGGGAAACCCAGCUGGGGUAAUUUCCAGUUACUCACAACUGAAUACAUAGGUUGUGCAGAGGCAUACCAGGGGAACUGAAACAUCUAAGUACCCUGAGGAAGAGAAAACAAUAGUGAUUCCGUCAGUAGCGGCGAGCGAACGCGGAGAAGCCCAAACCAGAGAGCUUGCUCUUUGGGGUUGUGGGACGUCUCACAUGGAGUUACAAAGGAACCGGUUAAGCGAAGAGGUCUGGAAAGGCCCGCCAAAGAAGGUAAAAGCCCUGUAGUUGAAAGUUGGUUCCCUCCGAGACGGAUCCCGAGUAGUGCGGGGCACGUGAAACCCCGUAUGAAUCCGGCAGGACCAUCUGCCAAGGCUAAAUACUUCCUAGCGACCGAUAGUGAAGCAGUACCGUGAGGGAAAGGUGAAAAGCACCCCGGAAGGGGAGUGAAAUAGAACCUGAAACCGUGUGCUUACAAAAAGUCAGAGCCCGUUUUAGGGGUGAUGGCGUGCCUUUUGUAGAAUGAACCGGCGAGUUACGUUCCCGUGCAAGGUUAAGGUGAAGAGCCGGAGCCGCAGCGAAAGCGAGUCUGAAUAGGGCGACUUAGUACGUGGACGUAGACCCGAAACCGGGUGAUCUACCCCUGUCCAGGGUGAAGGUGCGGUAACACGCACUGGAGGCCCGAACCCACGCAUGUUGAAAAAUGCGGGGAUGAGGUGGGGGUAGCGGAGAAAUUCCAAUCGAACUCGGAGAUAGCUGGUUCUCCCCGAAAUAGCUUUAGGGCUAGCCUCGGAAAACAGAGUCGUGGAGGUAGAGCACUGAUUGGGUGCGGGGCCCGCAAGGGUUACCAAGCUCAGUCAAACUCCGAAUGCCAUAGACUUACUUCCGGGAGUCAGACAGUGAGUGCUAAGAUCCAUUGUCAAAAGGGAAACAGCCCAGACCAUCAGCUAAGGUCCCCAAGUGUGUGUUAAGUGGGAAAGGAUGUGGAGUUGCACAGACAACCAGGAUGUUGGCUUAGAAGCAGCCAUCAUUGAAAGAGUGCGUAAUAGCUCACUGGUCGAGUGACUCUGCGCCGAAAAUGUAACGGGGCUAAACACACCACCGAAGCUAUGGCUUGAUGCUUUGCAUCAGGGGUAGGGGAGCGUUGUAUAAGGGUUGAAGGUGUACCGUAAGGAGCGCUGGACAUUAUACAAGUGAGAAUGCCGGUAUGAGUAACGAAAAGAUCAGUGAGAAUCUGAUCCGCCGAAAGCCUAAGGGUUCCUGAGGAAGGCUCGUCCGCUCAGGGUAAGUCGGGACCUAAGGCGAGGCCGAAAGGCGUAGUCGAAGGACAACAGGUCGAAAUUCCUGUACCACCGUAAGCCGUUAUGAGCAAUGGGGGGACGCAGUAGGGUAGUGACGCGGACUGAUGGAUGUCCGUCUAAGCAGUAAGGCUGAUGUGUAGGCAAAUCCGCACAUUGUAAGGCUGAGCUGUGAUGGGGAGCGAAAAUUAUAGUAGCGAAGGUCAUGAUCUCACACUGCCAAGAAAAGCCUCUAGCCAGGUGAUGGUGCCCGUACCGCAAACCGACACAGGUAGGCGAGAAGAGUAUUCUAAGGCGCGCGGAAGAACUCUCGUUAAGGAACUCGGCAAAAUGACCCCGUAACUUCGGGAGAAGGGGUGCCCCGGUAGUGUGAAUAGCACGAGGGGGCCGCAGUGAAAAGGCCCAAGCGACUGUUUAGCAAAAACACAGGUCUGUGCGAAGCCGUAAGGCGAAGUAUACGGGCUGACGCCUGCCCGGUGCUGGAAGGUUAAGGGGAGUGGUUAGGAGCAAUCCGAAGCUGUGAACCGAAGCCCCAGUAAACGGCGGCCGUAACUAUAACGGUCCUAAGGUAGCGAAAUUCCUUGUCAGGUAAAUUCUGACCCGCACGAAUGGCGUAACGACUUGGGCGCUGUCUCAACGAGAGAUCCGGUGAAAUUUUAAUACCUGUGAAGAUGCAGGUUACCCGCGACAAGACGGAAAGACCCCAUGGAGCUUUACUGCAGCUUGAUAUUGAAUUUGGGUACGAUCUGUACAGGAUAGGUGGGAGCCUUUGAAGUG
rnacentral:rRNA from 1 species